rnacentral:rRNA from 1 species
UUACCAUGCAAGUCGAACGAUGAACUGGAGCUUGCUCCAGGGAUUAGUGGCGAACGGGUGAGUAACACGUGAGUAACCUGCCCUUGACUCUGGGAUAAGCGCUGGAAACGGCGUCUAAUACCGGAUACGAGCUUCAGCCGCAUGGCUAGGAGUUGGAAAGAAUUUCGGUCAAGGAUGGACUCGCGGCCUAUCAGCUAGUUGGUGAGGUAAUGGCUCACCAAGGCGACGACGGGUAGCCGGCCUGAGAGGGUGACCGGCCACACUGGGACUGAGACACGGCCCAGACUCCUACGGGAGGCAGCAGUGGGGAAUAUUGCACAAUGGGCGAAAGCCUGAUGCAGCAACGCCGCGUGAGGGAUGACGGCCUUCGGGUUGUAAACCUCUUUUAGUAGGGAAGAAGCGAAAGUGACGGUACCUGCAGAAAAAGCACCGGCUAACUACGUGCCAGCAGCCGCGGUAAUACGUAGGGUGCAAGCGUUGUCCGGAAUUAUUGGGCGUAAAGAGCUCGUAGGCGGUUUGUCGCGUCUGCUGUGAAAUCUGGGGGCUCAACCCCCAGCCUGCAGUGGGUACGGGCAGACUAGAGUGCGGUAGGGGAGAUUGGAAUUCCUGGUGUAGCGGUGGAAUGCGCAGAUAUCAGGAGGAACACCGAUGGCGAAGGCAGAUCUCUGGGCCGUAACUGACGCUGAGGAGCGAAAGCAUGGGGAGCGAACAGGAUUAGAUACCCUGGUAGUCCAUGCCGUAAACGUUGGGAACUAGAUGUGGGGGCCAUUCCACGGUCUCCGUGUCGCAGCUAACGCAUUAAGUUCCCCGCCUGGGGAGUACGGCCGCAAGGCUAAAACUCAAAGGAAUUGACGGGGGCCCGCACAAGCGGCGGAGCAUGCGGAUUAAUUCGAUGCAACGCGAAGAACCUUACCAAGGCUUGACAUAUACCGGAAACGUCCAGAGAUGGUCGCCCCGCAAGGUCGGUAUACAGGUGGUGCAUGGUNGUCGUCAGCUCGUGUCGUGAGAUGUUGGGUUAAGUCCCGCAACGAG